AAAGAAAAAAGCAUUCAAUUUCCAGACAAAUCGGUUUCGAUCCCGGGGCCGUUUUCAUUUCGAAUGUCUCCGCUUUGCCGUUUCGUUGCGUGAUGCCCGUAGGUAUUGUAGGUACAGUAUCGUAGUAAAAUAGUAUUCGAAUAGAUUCUUAUUUUUUAAGUAGAAAAUUGACGGGUGCAAUCGACGAGCUCCGCGGAGGGCCGUGCUACUCGCGGGUAGUUUUUGAAAAAAACAUUUUUUUUUUUUUUUUUUUUUUUAAGUCACUCUAUUACGACAUUUGAAUGCUUUUUCCGGGGUUUUUAGCGCGUUAAAUUAACAAUCCUAAUUAUAAACGCUUUCGAACGCCUUUACGGUCCGUGAUAGGUAAUAAAUACGAGUCUCUUCUAAAACCUAACGUUGUUUUUAUUUGCUCUUCUCUAAACCGUAUACAGUUUUUUUUU